UAGGUUUUUUUUCAUUUUCUUCUGGAAUUUUUUUUGCAAUUCUUGUUGUUGAAAGUUGAUGGAGAUGAUAUGAAGAUGAAAAAGAGGAGAAG
rnacentral:pre_miRNA from 1 species